CCCUUAGAUGUUCUGGGCCACACGCGCGUUACACUGAUGAAGCCAGCGAGUAUAUCGCCUUCACCGGAAGGUGCGGGUAAUCUUGUGAAACUUCAUCGUGCUGGGGAUAGACCAUUGCAAUUAUUGGUCUUGAACGAGGAAUUCCUAGUAAGCAUGAGUCAUCAACUCGUGCUGAUUACGUCCCUGCCCUUUGUACACACCGCCCGUCGCUACUACCGAUUGAGUGAUCCGGUGAAUAAUUCGGACUGCAGCAGUGCUUGGUCCUCCGGGCUUUGCAGCGGAAAGUUUAGUGAACCUUAUCACUUAGAGGAAGGAGAAGUCGUAACA
rnacentral:rRNA from 1 species